rnacentral:tRNA from 1 species
GCUCCGUUGGUGUAGUCCGGCCAAUCAUAGCGGCCUUUCGAGCCACUGACCGGGGUUCGAAUCCCUGACGGAGCA